rnacentral:tRNA from 1 species
GCCGACGUAGCUCAAUGGUAGAGCAACUGAUUUGUAAUCAGUAGGUUGGGGGUUCGACUCCCUUCGUCGGCUCCA